UACGAAGGGGGCUAGCGUUGCUCGGAAUUACUGGGCGUAAAGCGCACGUAGGCGGCUUUCUAAGUCGGGGGUGAAAUCCUGGAGCUCAACUCCAGAACUGCCUUCGAUACUGAGGAUCUCGAGUCCGGGAGAGGUGAGUGGAACUGCGAGUGUAGAGGUGAAAUUCGUAGAUAUUCGCAAGAACACCAGUGGCGAAGGCGGCUCACUGGCCCGGUACUGACGCUGAGGUGCGAAAGCGUGGGGAGCAAACAGG
rnacentral:rRNA from 1 species